rnacentral:rRNA from 1 species
CCUACGGGUGGCAGCAGUGAGGAAUAUUGGUCAAUGGACGAGAGUCUGCACCAGCCAAGUAGCGUGAAGGAUGACUGCCCUAUGGGUUGUAAACUUCUUUUAUAUGGGAAUAAAACGUUCCACGUGUGGGAUUUUGUAUGUACCAUAUGAAUAAGGAUCGGCUAACUCCGUGCCAGCAGCCGCGGUAAUACGGAGGAUCCGAGCGUUAUCCGGAUUUAUUGGGUUUAAAGGGAGCGUAGGUGGAUUGUUAAGUCAGUUGUGAAAGUUUGCGGCUCAACCGUAAAAUUGCAGUUGAAACUGGCAGUCUUGAGUACAGUAGAGGUGAGCGGAAUUCGUGGUGUAGCGGUGAAAUGCGUAGAUAUCAGGAGGAACACCGGCGGCGAAGGCGGCUUACUGGACUGUAACUGACGUUGAGGCUCGAAGGCGUGGGGAGCAAACAGGAUUAGAUACCCUGGUAGUC